AUACUUUUGCCUCUGCAACACAACAGUAAAUAUUUUGCAAAUUGCAAAAAUCUGCUGCACAACAGCAAGUUGAAUAUCAAAUUACAAAUUGCAAUUUCGUUUGUCAAAUUUGCGACGACUUUGGUAUCUAGUGCUGGUGCUAAAUAGUUGCAAACUAUCAGCAAGUGUAAAAUUUGUUAAAUUAUUUUUGCCUUAUUUAGACUUAUUCUUAACUAAAUUUUAGGAAUUUGUUUAUGCAGAUGUUAACAGCAUUGUAAAAUUUCAUACUAGAAACCCGUGGGAAUGAACUUUUUGCAUAGUUUGCAUCAAACUAGUAAAACCAAUGCAGUUAGUGCCAUAGCCACAUGGGACUAAACAAUCUCCUAAAUAAAAAAUAAAAAAAUUAAAAUUCCCACAAACAGUACAAUGGUUCACAAGCUAUAAAUGGACAUGUGUCGUCAUCGGUAUUUUCCGAAGAUUGUGGAGUAGUAUAUUGAAAUCUUCCGGAAGCUCUAGGCUAUCUGGUAGGACUUAAUCAUCGGGUAAACCUAAUUUCUGGAUGCAUGGCAUACGUUUACCAUGGACGGUCAGAUCAGGAACUGGAGAUCACCGUCGAUUCGGUGCUGGAUAUGAGAGUCAGGUGUGCCAAGGGGUUCCCGACUAUUGGAUACCGCUUCACAGUGUUGCAGGAACUUUAAGGGUUAACGACACUUGGAUUUUCGUAUCCCACCGCUGCCACCAAAUGUGUGAAUUGAAACUAAGAUCUUUAAAAAAAAAAACACUUUUAAUACUCCCUAGACUAAGUUUAUGUUAUUUAUAUGGAAAGUGGGGACAAUUCGGUAUACGUCCCACUCUGAUGAAAGUCUGACCCGAACUGCUUUAAAAAGCUAGCUAAAAAUCAUCAUCGGGAAUAAAUGCAGAUGUUGAUGUUUGGUAAGCAUUAUAAAAAUGAUAUGUAGAGAUAUAACAGAUCUCCGGCAUUUUUUCUUUGAUGGAAAUUAUUUUCUAUCAUCGUCUGAGGCGGGAGAAAAGUCAUCAUCGUCAUCAUUCGUUUGGUUGUGACAAGUGCUAGUUGAGGGUGAACUUCUCAUGAUGCUCAAAUCGACGCACUCGUUGUUGAAAGGGGUUCCACAAAAUAGAAUUUUCUAUAAAAAGCAGGCUUUGUAUUUUGAGAUUCAUCAUCGUCUUCGUUGUUCUGAUUUAAUAAUUGUAGGAUCCUUCUACAUUUACUUCUCUUCGGAUCCAUGAUAGUUUAAUGCCUCAAACAAAAACAUUCAAUCAAUUAAAGGGUCGGACAAACCAACGCGUCCAAACAAACCGUAGUGGUGAUCUACUUGCGUUCAAAAACGUGUCUAGACGCAGGACGCGUUUGAUUUGCACACGUCGCGACAAGUUGUACCUGUCGAUCUGUCCUAAUCGCGGUCAAAAACGGUCUUAAUUUUACGAAUUUCUAAACAAAAUAGUAACUAAAAUGAUUAAAAAACUGACACUAAACUGAACUGCCACUUAUGCAAUUAUGCACUGCGAAUAUUUGAAGCAAAUUUAUCGAUUAAAUGGCGCUUUGCAGAAAAUGACCGUUAUUGAAUUCGUAUAAAAACAAAAUCCUAAUUAAAGUUAUUAAAUAACUGUCAUUUAACUCAAUCUGCCACUUAUGCACUUACUCGCUGUAAAUAUACGAAAGUAAAUUUAUUUAAUAAGUGGCACUUAACACAAGGUGCCAGUUUUUUACUCAUCUCGACAAGGGUUCCCUCCAGUGACUUGUCGCGAUCUGGCGUAGUGCCGGUUUAUUAAUUACCGACCGCACAAGUUUUUUUUUUUUAGAUUGUUUUACGGCUCUGGUUGCGAUUCCUUAUGAGCCCGUAGUAAGGUCACAAUUUCACUUCAUUAAAGUAUAACUUUAAAGUUCACCUAUUUGAUAUAUAUUUAAGAAGAGGCUUAUAGAAGAGCGAGUUUGCUAAAAUAUCUGGAACAGUUGAAGGCAUUUCAUUAGUUUCUUCUUCAAUUUCAGCAAUCAUUAAAAGUCUGUGGAUACUGUAACAACUAAAUGUCAGCAACAUAUGUUCAAUGUCAGUACUUCCAUUCCCACAAUAUGGGCAUUUAUCAUCUUCAACUAUACGCAAUCUUUUCAAAUGAGUGGGCACAUGGCAAUGUCCAAAUCUUAAUCUGUUAAUUACAAUUAUCUGCUUGCGAGAGUUUAGUGUGGUUUUGGCAUACCAAGCUUUGGUGGGCUGCGUCUUUUGUAUACCGGUAUACCAUUUAGCCUUAAAUUCAGUUGCUUUUUUCCAGUAUUCCAACCAAAGUUGCUUCAGUGAAACGGAGAAUUCAGCAUGGAAAUCUGUAUAUGGAACUUUGAGGAGUGCGGAGUGAUCAAUGUCAGGAUUUCCAGUGGCAGCCCGGUCAGCUUCUUCAUUGCCCGUAAUUCCGGAAUGUGAAGGUACCCAUUUGAACGUUACCAAUCAUUCUAUCUAUAGAUUAAUUCCUUAAUGUCAUACACAAUAUAGCUUAAGUUAAAUUUACUAGAUUUGUUUUCUAGAGCAUUUAUUGUACUCAUAGAAUCAGUCAAAAUCAACAGGUUAUUUAUGUUUAACAACUCAAAAUGUAACAGAGCCUGAUAAAUAGCAUAGCAUUCAGAUGUAAAGAUACUGCAGUUAUUGUUUAUCUUAAAACAUUUAGUUAAUUUUAAUUGAGGAUCAUAGUAGGCAGAUGUUACACUAUUGUCAGUUUUACUACCAUCUGUAUAUAAAGUAUAAAAAUUUGUAUUUUCUAAAUAUUGUAAUAGUUCUAUCUGUGAGUCUGUUUUUUGAGAACAAAUUAGUAUGUCAUUAUUAAUGACUUCAUAUGGUAUAGAAUAUAUAGGCCAUAUCAAAGACUUAUACAUAUUUACAGUUAGUCUAUUUGUUUGUGCAGUAAUUAUUAAUAGAUCUGGUAAAUACCCAGCAAAAAGUUGAUCGGGUUUAAUAUUACUCUUACUCUUACUUAUUCUUUACUUACUCUUUGUAAAGCCUGACCUGGAGCUAUGCUAUUCAAAAUCAAUUUAUUUUCAGCUGAUAAUAUUUUUAAACAGAACCUUUUAGCAAUUUCUAGACGUCGCAAAAAUAAAGGUUGAAUACAUGUUUCAGUUUCCAUUGCUAUGACUGGUGUUGAACACAUAGCUCCUGAAAUGAUUCGAAGUGCUUUAUUUUGUAUUACGUCUAGUUUUCUCAAAAGAGUUACAUGUGUGUUCAUAUAGGCUAAUGCACUAUAAUCGAAAUGACUACGAACAAUACUUUUGUAGAGCAUAGAAAGGGCUUGAGGAUCAGAACCCCAAUGGAUACCAGACAGUGAUCUUAAGAUAUUGAGACCCUUUGAAGCAUUUUUGACUAUAUAUUUAAUAUGAUCUUCAAAUUUUAGUCUUGGAUCAAGCCACACACCUAGAAAUUUAUGUUUAUCAACCCAAGGGAGAGGGCAAUUAUUGUACAUAACUGAGCUAUCACAUUUAAAAUCUUUUUUUGUAAAUACCAUGGCACCACUUUUACUGGAGCUGAUAUCCAGAUUGAGUUUCAAUUUAUAAAGGUUAUAUAAAUUUGACAAAGCAAUAUUCAAGUUAUGAACAUCCUUAUUGAUUGUAUAUAUUAAAAGAUCAUCAGCAAAUUGAAGAAACUUUAUAUUUGACAUAGAUAAAUAUUUAGAAAUUUGGCUGGUAUAAAUAUUAUACAACAAAGGUGAGAUGGUAAUACCUUGCAUUGUGCCUUUAAAAACAUACCUGGGACCAUAUAGGUUGUUGUUAUAUCUUACAUACAUUGAUCUUUAAUACAGAAAAUUAAAUACAAAUUUACAAAUUUUACCUGGAAUUUUGAUUUUACUAAGUACUUGGAUUAAAAUUGAUGGAGUUACAUUGUCAAAUGCUCCUUGAACAUCAAGGAAAGCACCAACCGUAGCUGAAUGACUGAAAAAGGAAUUCCUGAUGUCUGCAAUGAAGCUAGUAAAACUUUCUACUGCACUACGUCCUUUUCGGAAACCAAACUGUUGUUGAGGAGGCAUUAGUGGUGCAAACUUAUCUAAGAAAGAAGGAAUCCAUUCAUCAUUUUUAGAACGACUUUGAGAUGUAAUACGUUUAAAUCUACGGAUAAAAUUCCAUAUAAUACCAACUGGCGUGUAUCUAUUAAAGGAGUGACAAAGAUUUCUCCA